rnacentral:lncRNA from 1 species
GGAUAUUGCUUCAAUUGGCCAAAAGCUUUUAUCUUCCCCUCUUACAAUGGCAUCAUAUGGAGAUGGUAUGUACGCAGCUUAGUGACAAUUCUCUGUUUUUGGCUCACAAGUAUCCUUCAGCUAUAAUGCCGUUUUGUUUCACAAUCUUGUUUUGCAGUUACUAAAGUCCCAAGCUAUGACUCAGUCAGCAAAAAGUUCCAUUUAAAAUGAGUUGUUUUCAUACACCGAACUGGGUAGUAACCUGAUUCGUAGUAUUUUGACGUAUGCAUUUACAGAGCUCCUAUACAAGAAUUUCAGAUAAGCGAUGAAACUUUGUACAUUGAUGUCAACCAAUAAAUUGAUGAUUCUGGACAAUAAAUUGAUGAUUCUGGACAAGCAGCAUUUUGAUACGUACGGCUUAUAUAUAAAUUUUGUUGGUAGAGUUUGUGAGGCAGUGAGUUGCAGUGCCAUGUAUGAUCUGUCGUAUAUAUAUUUUUACCUUGAUUUACCCGAUAACCCGACGCAAUUCAAGC